UGCAAGUCGAGCGAACGGACGAGAAGCUUGCUUCUCUGAUGUUAGCGGCGGACGGGUGAGUAACACGUGGAUAACCUACCUAUAAGACUGGGAUAACUUCGGGAAACCGGAGCUAAUACCGGAUAAUAUUUUGAACCGCAUGGUUCAAAAGUGAAAGACGGUCUUGCUGUCACUUAUAGAUGGAUCCGCGCUGCAUUAGCUAGUUGGUAAGGUAACGGCUUACCAAGGCAACGAUGCAUAGCCGACCUGAGAGGGUGAUCGGCCACACUGGAACUGAGACACGGUCCAGACUCCUACGGGAGGCAGCAGUAGGGAAUCUUCCGCAAUGGGCGAAAGCCUGACGGAGCAACGCCGCGUGAGUGAUGAAGGUCUUCGGAUCGUAAAACUCUGUUAUUAGGGAAGAACAUAUGUGUAAGUAACUGUGCACAUCUUGACGGUACCUAAUCAGAAAGCCACGGCUAACUACGUGCCAGCAGCCGCGGUAAUACGUAGGUGGCAAGCGUUAUCCGGAAUUAUUGGGCGUAAAGCGCGCGUAGGCGGUUUUUUAAGUCUGAUGUGAAAGCCCACGGCUCAACCGUGGAGGGUCAUUGGAAACUGGAAAACUUGAGUGCAGAAGAGGAAAGUGGAAUUCCAUGUGUAGCGGUGAAAUGCGCAGAGAUAUGGAGGAACACCAGUGGCGAAGGCGACUUUCUGGUCUGUAACUGACGCUGAUGUGCGAAAGCGUGGGGAUCAAACAGGAUUAGAUACCCUGGUAGUCCACGCCGUAAACGAUGAGUGCUAAGUGUUAGGGGGUUUCCGCCCCUUAGUGCUGCAGCUAACGCAUUAAGCACUCCGCCUGGGGAGUACGACCGCAGGGUUGAAACUCAAAGGAAUUGACGGGGGACCCGCACAAGCGGUGGAGCAUGUGGUUUAAUUCGAAGCA
rnacentral:rRNA from 1 species